GCGCCCUUAGCUCAAUUGGAUAGAGCACCUGCCUUCUAAGCAGGCGGUUGCAGGUUCGAGUCCUGCAGGGCGCGCCA
rnacentral:tRNA from 1 species